rnacentral:rRNA from 1 species
UGGGGAAUAUUGGACAAUGGGCGAAAGCCUGAUCCAGCCAUGCCGCGUGAGUGACGAAGGUCUUCGGAUUGUAAAGCUCUUUUGGCGGGGACGAUAAUGACGGUACCCGCAGAAUAAGCCCCGGCUAACUUCGUGCCAGCAGCCGCGGUAAUACGAAGGGGGCUAGCGUUGUUCGGAAUUACUGGGCGUAAAGCGCACGUAGGCGGAUUUGUAAGUCAGGGGUGAAAUCCCGGGGCUCAACCUCGGAACUGCCCUUGAUACUGCAAAUCUCGAGUCCGAUAGAGGUGAGUGGAAUUCCUAGUGUAGAGGUGAAAUUCGUAGAUAUUAGGAAGAACACCAGUGGCGAAGGCGGCUCACUGGAUCGGUACUGACGCUGAGGUGCGAAAGCGUGGGGAGCAAACAGGAUUAGAUACCCCCGUAGUCCCUGAGCGGGCUGGCAAGGCGCAU